GACGAACGCUGGCGGCGUGCCUAAUACAUGCAAGUAGAACGCACAGUUUAUACCGUAGCUUGCUACACCAUAGACUGUGAGUUGCGAACGGGUGAGUAACGCGUAGGUAACCUGCCUGGUAGCGGGGGAUAACUAUUGGAAACGAUAGCUAAUACCGCAUAAUAUUGAUUAUUGCAUGAUAAUUAAUUGAAAGGUGCAAUUGCACCACUACCAGAUGGACCUGCGUUGUAUUAGCUAGUAGGUGAGGUAACGGCUCACCUAGGCGACGAUACAUAGCCGACCUGAGAGGGUGAUCGGCCACACUGGGAAUGGGACACGGCCCAGACUCCUACGGGAGGCAGCAGUAGGGAAUCUUCGGCAAUGGACGAAAGUCUGACCGAGCAACGCCGCGUGAGUGAAGAAGGUUUUCGGAUCGUAAAGCUCUGUUGUAAGAGAAGAACGGGUGUGAGAGUGGAAAGUUCACACUGUGACGGUAUCUUACCAGAAAGGGACGGCUAACUACGUG
rnacentral:rRNA from 1 species